UCACUCUGCCAACAGUUGCUUUUCUCAGGCACGGCUCUGAUCAUGCCAUUUCCCUGCUCAGCAACAUUCCAGAGCUUCUCAUUUCCUACUGAAGGAAGCUGUGACGCUUAGCAGCUCCAGAGUGAGAGGUGGAGUUUCUCCACGGCCAUCAAAUGCAUUUCCAAAUGCUCAGGCCUGCGUCUGUCCAUCUGCAGUUGGCGGGAGCAAUGGCCGGCCGACUGCCGGGUAUGACCAUCGAAGGCCUUGAUCCCUGUGCUGCCGGCAGCAUCUUCCCUGCCUCCUGAGCAGAGCGACGUCUCCUCUGUCUCCACUGUGGCCUGGCUUCCCCUGAGUCCCCACGGAGCCCAUUAGGGGACCAACCUGCGCUCACCUGCUGGGCACCUCAUCAUGUGUCAUGAGUCAGAAUGACAUCUCUGUCUGCUCCUUCAUCUGUCCUCACCAUGGUGGGGGAUGAGGCUUGAGGUGUGUGUGAGGGGCAGUGAUCUGGGAGGAGGGAGAUCUGCCUAGGCUCCGCCCCCAGAGAACAUGGGGCAAAGAGAGAAAUCAGGCAACGGAACUGAUCCCGACCAUCCUUGAGGCGCCCCUUCUCCCUCCCCAGGUCUGCAUAUCCCAAACAAUCCCAGAAUCUCCCCCCACCGCCUAUGUGCCUGGAGUCCCCACUAAGCCCGUCACCAGCGCCCUGCUUCUUCCCUGCCUCCCCCCUGCCUCCAGCAUCUGCUGCUCUCUGCUCAGCAGCAUCCCCACUGCUUCACCAUCUCCCUCUUCUAGGAGAACCCUCCAGACAAAGGCAGCUUUACCAAAAGCUAAAGAAGCUGACGCUCCAGGGACCCUCACUCUCCAGAGCCCUCCUAAGGCCCCGGUUGGGCCCCAAGCAAGGUGAUUAAUGAGCAUUGUCAAUUGUAAGAUUAAUUAGGAUUAGCAGCUGCAAGGAAAACUUACUAUGUCCUGAAAUCUUUACUGCUCAGAUAUAAAAGAACCUUGACAGGAGGCGUCCCAAAUUUGACAACAGUCCUGAGUAUUUGCAUGACAUGAUCUGUGAUGAAUUGCGAGGGUGAAAACCACUUCAGCCCGAUCCAUGUAGAAAACCGUGAUGAGGAGGCUCUGCGGGAGGAAAGCCUGAUUUAACUUUCUAUUCCCUCCACGGAGGGUGAUGUUACAAAAACAUUCUCUUAGGAGGAUGUGAAUAGAGAGAACGCAGCCCACACAACUCAGGGGAGAGAGGAAGCCAGGAAGGAGGGCUGAGGUGCCGCGUAAUAAGUUGAGAUGUUUUUUUGGGUAAUUGCCUGCUUUUUGAAAUCUACAAUUUAUUGUGCUUUCUUUGUGCACUCUAAAUAAAUAUUCAAUUGCAUACCUAA